GAGCGUAGAUGGAUGUUUAAGUCAGUUGUGAAAGUUUGCGGCUCAACCGUAAAAUUGCAGUUGAUACUGGGAUGUCUGAGUGCAGUUGAGGCAGGCGGAAUUCGUGGUGUAGCGGUGAAAUGCUUAGAUAUCACGAAGAACUCCGAUUGCGAAGGCAGCCUGCUAAGCUGCAACUGACAUUGAGGCUCGAAAGUGUGGGUAUCAAACAGGAUUAGAUACCCUGGUAGUCCACACGGUAAACGAUGAAUACUCGCUGUUUGCGAUAUACGGCAAGCGGCCAAGCGAAAGCGUUAAGUAUUCCACCUGGGGAGUACGCCGGCAACGGUGAAACUCAAAGGAAUUGACGGGGGCCCGCACAAGCGGAGGAACAUGUGGUUUAAUUCGAUGAUACGCGAGGAA
rnacentral:rRNA from 1 species